GAUGAACGCUGGCGGCAGGCCUAACACAUGCAAGUCGGACGGUAGCACAGAGGAGCUUGCUCCUCGGGUGACGAGUGGCGGACGGGUGAGUAAUGUCUGGGGAUCUGCCCGAUAGAGGGGGAUAACCACUGGAAACGGUGGCUAAUACCGCAUAACGUCGCAAGACCAAAGAGGGGGACCUUCGGGCCUCUCACUAUCGGAUGAACCCAGAUGGGAUUAGCUAGUAGGCGGGGUAACGGCCCACCUAGGCGACGAUCCCUAGCUGGUCUGAGAGGAUGACCAGCCACACUGGAACUGAGACACGGUCCAGACUCCUACGGGAGGCAGCAGUGGGGAAUAUUGCACAAUGGGCGCAAGCCUGAUGCAGCCAUGCCGCGUGUAUGAAGAAGGCCUUCGGGUUGUAAAGUACUUUCAGCGGGGAGGAAGGCGAUGUGGUUAAUAACCGCAUUGAUUGACGUUACCCGCAGAAGAAGCACCGGCUAACUCCGUGCCAGCCGCCGCGGUAA
rnacentral:rRNA from 1 species